rnacentral:tRNA from 1 species
GUACAGCAGCACAGCUUGAAAGAGCAACGCCCUCCUAAGGCGUAGGUCGGGGGCUCGAAUUCCUCCUGGGACGCAA